GUAUAAGUUCACUCUCGUCGUAAGAAACUAAUUCAACUUCCUCAUCAUCAUCAAUGUCACCAUCGUUGUAAUCAUCGUCACCAUCCUCGUUAUCAUCGUCAGAAUCAAAUUCGCUGACAUUUCCUUCAUUUAGAUCAGCGCCAGUUUGUUUUUCCUCAAUAGCGACUGGAUUACUCGUACUGACCGCAUUAUUGCUGAAAUCAGUAAGGUCGC
rnacentral:misc_RNA from 1 species